AUUGUCAUCUUUAAACACUAGGUGGCAUCAACCACCAUAGACAUCAUCCAUUUAUGGUUAGUGAAGUCCUGUUAUGUGUUAGCAUUUCAGUGUUUUGGAAGCCUAUGUGACGAUCUUUGAAAGAAGCUUGCUACACCCUUGCUGACUAACAACUUGUGCUUGAGGAGUCUACCCUUGCUGGCUGUUGAAAAGAAUAAAGCGCCUUUUUCGUAAUCAAAUCUGGAAGUGUUCUGGCAUGGGCAGCAUUGAAGUUCGGAAAAGCAGGCCUAGGCUAUAAAUUUGUCUGAAGAUGUAAAACCAUCUGAGUAAAAAGAGACAAAGCACGCUCUAUGACCCGUUCCUGCUGGGUGAAGAUCGUGCAGUCAGAAGUUAAAUCAUGCUGCAAACAGGAUCGACCCACAGGCAGCUACCCAGCCAGGCAGUGGAACAAAAGUCACUCAGCAUCUGGGCUGAAUUUCGUUCCAUCCUCUGGACAAAUCUCCACCAUCCAUCUUGAUGCCCUGACGCCUGUCGACUUUAGCGCCCAGCUCCCUCGGCCUGCUGUGUGUCCCCAGUGUCAGCGGCAUCUCUCGGGUCCCAGCGGACCCCACACGUACACACCCAUACAUCAUGCUGCGAGAUCAGAGCAUUGAGCUGCUGCUCAAUAAGUCAGCACAGACAGCGAGGUAUCGACAACUUUCAGCUCCAGAUGGGAUUUGAGUUAAAAAUGCAACAAGGGGCUAUACUGGCGUGCUUUUCUUGCCAGAUGUUUAACAGUGGCUUUGAUUCUGUAAAAGGUCUGCUAUGCAUCUGUAUAAAGUUAAUGUCCUGGUAUGGGGCUCAUAAAUAUGUACUACAACAUUCUUCAUUAUUUCUAUUAAAAAGGAGACACUGUUUCAGAUGUGUACCAAAUGUAUUUUUUAUCAAAUGGUUACUCGGUACAGCGAACUAAAGCUGAGGCCGGUUUAUAUGCACGGUUCAUUCAAACCACUUUUGUGCAAAGUGUCACUCAGCCACAUCUAAAGGCAUAAUUACGCCUUAAUGGUCACACUCGGGGACAGCACGAAAACCCUGCCAUCACAGAGAGGGCAGCAAUCGUUCAAACUGGGAUGAAGGUGUGCCAUUUUCAUGGUGCUGCACUUACUUGAACCCACAAGUGGCAGAAAGUAUGAAGACAAAAAACAAGUGAAAAAGAAGCCCAGUCCUUAUUACCUGCCCGAUUGUUGCAACUGAAUUUUGAGCUCUUAAUGAGAAUCUCAGGAGCAGUUAAAGCACACUGACAGUUAAAGCCUUCAUUGUUGUGGCCUUUCUGAUGAUCCCAGUGUGUUUUUGUAAUCUUUAGUUCUUGUUUGCUUUGUGUGUUUUCCUUGACCUUGCUUUAUUUUGAAGUUUACUUCUUCAUGUGGCUUUCUGUAUUUUAACUUUCCACCAUUGUUACAGCUGCCCACAUGGGCAAGCCAAAUGCCUUCUGGAGAAAGAUUGUACGGUCAGACGAGACAAAGAUUUAGGUAUUUGGCCAAGAAGUGUGUUUGGAGGAGUAAAGGCCAGGCUUUAAAACCAUAACACACUGCACCCGCAGUCAAGCAUGGUGGUGGUAGCAUCGUGCUCUGGGGCUGUUUUGCUGCCAGCGGUGGAUAGAAAACUUAAGAGGGACGUCUACUUCCAAAUUCUUCAUUUUCACCUUGAUGCAACAGCUAAACCAUUGAAAUUUGGACACAGUUGGGUGUUCCAACAGGACACACAAAAUGCAUUUGGUCAAGGUGCUAAGGAACAUUUAACUAACUAUUAGUGGGUGUGUACAUAUAUAUUGACCUUGUGUGUGUUAGAAAAGAUAGAUAAGUUCAAACUUGUGCACCAAAUUCUUGUUUUUUUUUAAGUCAUUAAGCAAAUGGUUAAAGGAUUAAGGUUAAAUAAUCAUUAAAAGCCCCAAAUUACCAUGAGAUUUAUGCCCAUGACCUAAGUAUUCAAACCUCUGACCACAACUCUUUGUGUUUAAAAUAGUGCCAUCACUUUUAAAGAGUCAAAUUAUUAAAAGUAUUUUUUUAAUUACGCAU
ensembl:lncRNA